rnacentral:rRNA from 1 species
UAGAGCUUGAUCAUGGCUCAGAUUGAACGCUGGCGGCAGGCCUAACACAUGCAAGUCGAGCGGUAGAGAGAAGCUUGCUUCUCUUGAGAGCGGCGGACGGGUGAGUAAUGCCUAGGAAUCUGCCUGGUAGUGGGGGAUAACGUUCGGAAACGGACGCUAAUACCGCAUACGUCCUACGGGAGAAAGCAGGGGACCUUCGGGCCUUGCGCUAUCAGAUGAGCCUAGGUCGGAUUAGCUAGUUGGUGAGGUAAUGGCUCACCAAGGCGACGAUCCGUAACUGGUCUGAGAGGAUGAUCAGUCACACUGGAACUGAGACACGGUCCAGACUCCUACGGGAGGCAGCAGUGGGGAAUAUUGGACAAUGGGCGAAAGCCUGAUCCAGCCAUGCCGCGUGUGUGAAGAAGGUCUUCGGAUUGUAAAGCACUUUAAGUUGGGAGGAAGGGCAGUUACCUAAUACCGUGAUUGUUUUGACGUAC